UCAGAAGUGCGAAUGCUGACAUAAGUAACGAUAAAGCGGGUGAAAAGCCCGCUCGCCGGAAGACCAAGGGUUCCUGUCCAACGUUAAUCGGGGCAGGGUGAGUCGACCCCUAAGGCGAGGCCGAAAGGCGUAGUCGAUGGGAAACAGGUUAAUAUUCCUGUACUUGGUGUUACUGCGAAGGGGGGACGGAGAAGGCUAUGUUGGCCGGGCGACGGUUGUCCCGGUUUAAGCGUGUAGGCUGGUUUUCCAGGCAAAUCCGGAAAAUCAAGGCUGAGGCGUGAUGACGAGGCACUACGGUGCUGAAGCAACAAAUGCCCUGCUUCCAGGAAAAGCCUCUAAGCAUCAGGUAACAUCAAAUCGUACCCCAAACCGACACAGGUGGUCAGGUAGAGAAUACCAAGGCGCUUGAGAGAACUCGGGUGAAGGAACUAGGCAAAAUGGUGCCGUAACUUCGGGAGAAGGCACGCUGAUAUGUAGGUGAAGUCCCUUGCGGAUGGAGCUGAAAUCAGUCGAAGAUACCAGCUGGCUGCAACUGUUUAUUAAAAACACAGCACUGUGCAAACACGAAAGUGGACGUAUACGGUGUGACGCCUGCCCGGUGCCGGAAGGUUAAUUGAUGGGGUUAGCGGUAACGCGAAGCUCUUGAUCGAAGCCCCGGUAAACGGCGGCCGUAACUAUAACGGUCCUAAGGUAGCGAAAUUCCUUGUCGGGUAAGUUCCGACCUGCACGAAUGGCGUAAUGAUGGCCAGGCUGUCUCCACCCGAGACUCAGUGAAAUUGAACUCGCUGUGAAGAUGCAGUGUACCCGCGGCAAGACGGAAAGACCCCGUGAACCUUUACUAUAGCUUGACACUGAACAUUGAGCCUUGAUGUGUAGGAUAGGUGGGAGGCUUUGAAGUGUGGACGCCAGUCUGCAUGGAGCCGACCUUGAAAUACCACCCUUUAAUGUUUGAUGUUCUAACGUUGACCCGUAAUCCGGGUUGCGGACAGUGUCUGGUGGGUAGUUUGACUGGGGCGGUCUCCUCCUAAAGAGUAACGGAGGAGCACGAAGGUUGGCUAAUCCUGGUCGGACAUCAGGAGGUUAGUGCAAUGGCAUAAGCCAGCUUGACUGCGAGCGUGACGGCGCGAGCAGGUGCGAAAGCAGGUCAUAGUGAUCCGGUGGUUCUGAAUGGAAGGGCCAUCGCUCAACGGAUAAAAGGUACUCCGGGGAUAACAGGCUGAUACCGCCCAAGAGUUCAUAUCGACGGCGGUGUUUGGCACCUCGAUGUCGGCUCAUCACAUCCUGGGGCUGAAGUAGGUCCCAAGGGUAUGGCUGUUCGCCAUUUAAAGUGGUACGCGAGCUGGGUUUAGAACGUCGUGAGACAGUUCGGUCCCUAUCUGCCGUGGGCGCUGGAGAACUGAGGGGGGCUGCUCCUAGUACGAGAGGACCGGAGUGGACGCAUCACUGGUGUUCGGGUUGUCAUGCCAAUGGCACUGCCCGGUAGCUAAAUGCGGAAGAGAUAAGUGCUGAAAGCAUCUAAGCACGAAACUUGCCCCGAGAUGAGUUCUCCCUGACUCCUUGAGAGUCCUGAAGGAACGUUGAAGACGACGACGUUGAUAGGCCGGGUGUGUAAGCGCAGCGAUGCGUUGAGCUAACCGGUACUAAUGAACCGUGAGGCUUAACCUUACAACGCCGAAG
rnacentral:rRNA from 1 species